CAGUAGCCCGGUAAUACGGAGGGUGCAAGCGUUAAUCGGAAUUACUGGGCGUAAAGCGCACGCAGGCGGUCUGACAAGUCAGAUGUGAAAUCCCCGGGCUUAACCUGGGAACUGCAUUUGAAACUGUCAGGCUGGAGUCUUGUAGAGGGGGGUGGAAUUCCAGGUGUAGCGGUGAAAUGCGUAGAGAUCUGGAGGAAUACCGGUGGCGAAGGCGGCCCCCUGGACAAAGACUGACGCUCAGGUGCGAAAGCGUGGGGAGCAAACAGGAUUAGAUACCCCUGUAGUCCCUGUCUCUUAUACA
rnacentral:rRNA from 1 species